rnacentral:rRNA from 1 species
UGGCGGACGGGUGAGUAACGCGUAAAGAACUUGCCCUUUAGACUGGGAUAACAGAGGGAAACUUCUGAUAGUACUGGAUAAGUUAGUAUAUCGCAUGAUAUGCAAAUGAAAGCUACGGCACUAAAGGAGAGCUUUGCGUCCUAUUAGCUAGUUGGUAAGGUAAGAGCUUACCAAGGCGAUGAUAGGUAGCCGGCCUGAGAGGGUGGACGGCCACAAGGGGACUGAGAUACGGCCCUUACUCCUACGGGAGGCAGCAGUG